rnacentral:rRNA from 1 species
GAUGAACGCUGGCGGCGUGCCUAAUACAUGCAAGUAGAACGCUGAAGCUUGGUGCUUGCACCGAGCGGAUGAGUUGCGAACGGGUGAGUAACGCGUAGGUAACCUGCCUGGUAGCGGGGGAUAACUAUUGGAAACGAUAGCUAAUACCGCAUGACAACAGUUAUUGCAUGAUAACUGUUUAAAAGGGGCAAUUGCUCCACUACCAGAUGGACCUGCGUUGUAUUAGCUAGUUGGUGAGGUAACGGCUCACCAAGGCGACGAUACAUAGCCGACCUGAGAGGGUGAUCGGCCACACUGGGACUGAGACACGGCCCAGACUCCUACAGGAGGCAGCAGUAGGGAAUCUUCGGCAAUGGACGGAAGUCUGACCGAGCAACGCCGCGUGAGUGAAGAAGGUUUUCGGAUCGUAAAGCUCUGUUGUAAGAGAAGAACGAGUGUGAGAGUGGAAAGUUCACACUGUGACGGUAUCUUACCAGAAAGGGACGGCUAACUACGUG